GCUUGCUCGCUGUGGUGGGAGUCAUAGAUCAAAUUCUGCUUCAGGCCCUAAAGCUAGGGCCAGCACUCUGUGUGCGUGCCGAAGUCAAUGUGCUGCAUGAUCAGGUCAAAUCAAUAAUGCAAACGUCAGUAUUGGGUUUAAUAUUCUCAUCAAUAAUAAAUCAAUACACGUGCACGCAAAGUGACAAAUUGGUCAUCUCCAACAGAUCACUUCUUGUUAAAUAGUAAUAAGUGACAUUUGAACUUCCUAUUUAGCAGGUGGGGGAGGAAAGCAAGACAGGAAGAUACACACUUGCCGCUUCAAAGCCCGCACCGAAAUGAGGUUUUUGUACGUUAGCGAAGUCAGAGUACGCAACAAUAUAACAUUGACGUAUCGCAUUGUUUCCUUGUUGCGCUAAGGCUCGUUUCACUAUUGUGCUAAUGUCGCUAAAGCUAAGUGACAGGGUCACCUCCUAAUUCACAGAAACACUCAAAUUUAGUUGCCAAACACAGCGUGAGAAACUUUAUUUCUUACAAUUCCCAAUGGAUGUACCUUCCGAAUAAGCAAAUGAAAGAGGGAGGUGGCUGGCAAAGUCGAAGGCUGCAGUGAAAAUUGAGUAACAUUGUCCAGGUUAGGAUUUGGGGCCCAGUUAAUAUGGUUCUCUCCAUACAAGGGGGAAUGUUUAUGACACAAAUAGAGAGUGGCUGGAUCCAAGAGCAGUCGGAGGCAGAUGUGAAAGAAUGGAUAGUUUAUUGAUGAAAGGUAACGGCGGUGGGGAGGACAGGCGGCUGGCUUGGCGGCAGAAAUAACGUGGAUCAGAAACACGGGGAACAAAAACACUGGAACCAGGAGACAGGAAUCAAAAAGGGAACGAUGAAUAGGGUGACUUACGGGAGGUAAAUGGGCCGUGGUACCACUGAAAGUAACUGCAAUACUUCGGCGAGGAUUUCCUGGAACAGGCAGGUUUAUAUACCGGUGGUGAUAAAGCUGAUUGGAGACAGGUGCUGAAAACAGAGAAAGGAGGGGGGAGAGAGAGAACGCAAAGCGCCCUCUCGGCUACAAUAAUGGAACUGCAGGCAGUAUAUGACAGUUUAGCUGAAAAGGGAAAUGUUUGUUUGGGUGUGUCCAGAGGUGUGCGACAUCACGAGACAACUAUCAAGGGGAUGGAAAUUUGCCAUACAGACAUCAAUGAUUGUCAUGUCGCGCUAUUACACAAUAGAAAAUGUAAAUAUGCCGCCCCGUACCGCCGCACAUAUCGCACAUGCCAGAAACCACAACUGACUUAAACCGUAAUGACCGUGUGACAAAGCUACAGAUGAGCGUCGCACGAAGACUGCAAAUGAGGGGAACAGCAUGUCGCUUAUUGUGUCAUCAGGUGAUCUCGGUAGGAUGUCAUUGAUUCGAGCGGUAUAACAGCCCCGCUGUUCAUACUCUUUUCUUACCUCUUGACACAGUCAUGUAGCGUGGACACCUGGCAACACCGAGAUGACAGCUGGAACAACCCUCGGAUGAAAGCUGGUCUCAAGUCUCAAGUAGGAAGUACUGCGUCCCGCUGACUGUUGACAGCCGCAUCGCCUCGCCUCCUGAUCUGGGACGUCCUGCCUCCCCAGGCACAUGAGCCUGGGGGGGGGGGGGGGUUAUGCACGGCUGCCCGCGCACAAAUGCGCCGCAACAUACGACACCGCCGCCAGACACGCUGAGGUGGCCUGUCGAUGACAACUUCAGCCUCCGCUUGCUGCAAAAAGUUGGAGAGGCACUGGCUUGGAACAAGAAUGAAGGUGGAGCUCAGCCGCACCGUUGCAGUUGACGGCACACCGGGUUGAUUUGGGGACGUCCGGUUGUGAUGGUACAGCGCCGUUGGGGUUGAGGUGUCCAUGGGGGGGGUCCCCAACGUAGAGAGAGCAUCUGGAGCAAACAUGAAGGAGAAGGACCAUGGGCGGAUCUUUCUAGGUUCCUUCCCUCACCUAUGGUCCCAAGCCGUGGGUCAUGACCAAAAGAACAAGAUCGUGGAUACAAUCUGCAGCGAUGCUAUGCUCCAAGGCGAUGCCGGCCAGCUCCUUCAGGAAUUCUGCGUAUAGGACAAUGGCGAACACUCUGCUCUUAUCUUGGGGCGGGAUGGCGGGACAGGCCGGCAGGUGGCCGAGGUGGGGUGCUGCAAGAGAGUUCCUCACGGAGCCGUUGGGAAGAGGGCGGUCCGGAUCUUCGCUGCACCGAGACUGAAGGCUUUCUGGAACACACACGCGCACACGCACACACACAUACACGUGCUGGGCCUCAAUGCAUGUUAUCACUUAAUACAGGUUCAGUAUUCCUUUUUCGACAAGUGGCCAGUGGAGGAAUAACACUCACGAACCUCUGAUCUUGCUGUCCUGGUCUUUUGCCAACAAGAACCUCCACGCCUGUGUGACCAAGGCGGGGUACUCCGGUCGGGCUCGGAUGUAGCUCUCGAUUUGGCCGUGAAGUGACACCAGCACCUUGGCAUAAACGCACACAUCGUCUGGAGAGACGCCUUAAGACAGUGCUUCUCAAACUAGGGUGUGGGGAGCACCUGGCUUCCGCCAGCCGUUAAUUUGGGCGUCCGCUUUUCCGUUCGGAAAAGCCAGCGAUGAUUGGAACGCUCUCAGCAAAGGUUGCGGGUACGACGCCAGCUGAGCCAGGAUGCCGGUCACUAGCAGGUUGACAGCGAUGGAGUUGUCCAGAAGGUUCUCCAGCCGGGACAGCAGAACACUGAUAAAGGGCCCUGGGGCAUUAUGGGUAAAGCGGAUGCGCUCCGAGGCUCCGUAUGCGUUCGGCAGGUGGACGGGGCACCAGGAGGGCAGGAGGCGCAGGAAGGAGGCGGCGCUUGAGGAGCACCAGGCCUUGUGCGUUAAGGAGGACCGCUGCUUCCUGCUCAGUAUUACGCCUUUUAUUCAGGAAAAUAACACAAGCGCGGAGGUAUCUGAGCUAGGCUACCGGCUAAACCACACAAGCCAGCUAUUCCCUCCAUCGUGUUAGCCAACGUACGCUCUCUGGACAACAAGCUGGCUCGCAUGCUACCGAACGGACAAAAUUCUCGCGGGAACUGAGACUCGAGGCGGCGGACUGUGCGUUUACAUGACGCCUGGUGCCGGGACGCUAUCUUGUAUAAUACAGACACAGAUAUACCGGACAUUUUCAUCAGGCUGACCUGAAGACGAGCUGCAGCAUGACGUCCUCGCAGAAGAGACCGAUGAGUGUCCUGAACAGAGCCAGCGACACCGUGCCCAGCUGAGGAGCACCAAGACCAGGUCAUCGAUCCGGAUCUGCUUUCAGCAGCAUGCCGGGCGCGUUACCUGGAAGGGUGUGUUGAUUCUGCUGACCAGAGUGUCCAGGAUGUGCACAUUGUCGUGGGUGUGCAGCAGGGUGAAGGACAGGAAGGUCUGUAGGAGCGCAGGCUCAGAGAUGGUGCGCAGGAACAGGUCCAGGGCAGGAGCCAACACGGGCACCAAGAAGCCAUUGUGGAUGUAGCUCAGCAGCUGGGAGCGGAUGGAAGGAUGAGUCACCUGUGAAGAGGCUAGGAUUACAAGGAUAAAAAACAAUGUUGUUGUUUUAAGACUACAAUUGUUUGCAUUACGCUGGUGACGGCGCUGCAGAAGCCAAGCGAGUGCAAAAAGUGGACAAGAGCAGGAACCUGUUGAAACAUCAGAAUCUUUGUGUCAUUUGCUCGCCCCU